UAUCUUAUAUCCUGCAUGUAGAAAUGUUAAGUACAAUAAAAUACUCCAGAUAAGGAACACUGUUUGGACCACAUACUUUACUAUAUAACAAUUAUGGGAGAAAAGCCAGUUGUAUGAGACUGAAGGCAGAUGUUACACAUGGAAAUCCAACAUCCCAAAUAAUGGAACCAAUAAUUUUGGGCAUAAUAUUUUUAAAAUUAUAUGGAUCUAUGAAAAGGCAUGCUGCUCUUGAUGCUCCAAGUAUACAUAAAAACAUAUUAAUUGUGGACAUAAAAGGCCGGCUUGAUAUAAGAGACCUAAAAGAAAAUACAAUAUUUUUCAAUACUUUUGUAGUUCUGUAUAUCUGGAAUAAGAUAUAAUUUCAUACCUUAAGUGUAGAAUAGAUAAAAAUGUGUAAAAUGCAAGUACAAAGAAGAGGCAGGCAAAACCAUAUGUAUGUAAAAGAAAAAUCCAUUUUAGCUCUUGAUGUAUUGAUGUGAUUGAUGGAGUAAUGAUUAGUAAUUUGUCUAAAAUUGAAGGUGUUGACAAGUUUGAGACACAAUUUUGCCCAGGUAUUGGUGUUGAUAAUGAUAUAUUUAUACCUAUAGAUAAAGUAGAAGUGAUUAAAUAAUUAUAAAAUAUAAGUUGAGGGAUAAAAGAUAAUUAUAAAAUUGAUCCUUUUUUUCUUAUUAUGUCUCAAUGUUUAAUUACAUCUGUUAUGGAGAAUUACUUUCACAUAUAUGUAUUCUUUUACAUAAUGUGAAAAAAUUAAUACCAGUAAUAAAAAAAACAAAGGGAAAAAAUAUCAAAAUAUAAGAAACCACUGACCACGGGUCCAAUUAGUCAGCUUAUCCAUAAUCUUUGGAUUGAAAUUCACAGCACAUCACUAACUUUUUUCUGAUACUUAAAUCCUGUUAACACACAAUCGAAUUUUUUUUUAUUCGAACGAGCAACUUAUUGCAACAACGGAUUUUGAAAUGUGACUGCAGCAACAGGCUUUGCUUAUAGUGUAGUCCGAUUAGCACCCCUUCUCCAAUUCGCGGAUACCUACAGUCUCAUCCGUUUCUCUCACCCUCUUGCUAGAAAUAUUGAUUUUGCACAAAGGAUGAUUGGAGGGAGAAUUCAGACUAUCCUGAGCUUUACGCUUGUCCAUUGUUCUUUAGAAUAUAAAUAGAACAUUACUAAAUUUAUCAAAUUAAUUCCGUUUUAUUAUUUAUUAUUAUCUCUUGUUGCAAUCAUGCAUAUAGCAUUUCGAUAUUUAAAAACUUUGCAUUUUUCAAUUAUAAAUUGUCCUAAAAUGAAAAAUCGUCCUUUUCCUUCUUAAAAACUUCUUUGACUUAAGUUGAUCGGAAAUUCUAUAAAAUAAAAAUUUGAUCCUUGCUUUUAGGAUAUCUUAAAACUUUCACAAUUGUUUAUUAUUAACAAUUGUAAUUAUGAUAUCAAUUUUUGAUUUUUAUAUACAUUUUCCUAUAUCAGACAUAUCUAAUAUAACGAUACAUCGUUAAUGAAAAUUUAUUCGAAUCUAAUAUUACAAAUUAUCCAUAGUAAAGAGUUUAUACUAUUGUACAUAAUGGACAAUGAUGCAAGCUAACUGUAUAUGUAUUUAGAUUCAAAUGUCCUACGCUUGAUUAAACGAAUCUUUCCGAUUAUUCCUAUUAUAAAAUGCUUAUGAAAUAUAUUAACAAACGCGUGACAAACGGGUACAUCGUAAAUUUAUUAUUUUGUAUACAUAUAAAUACAUACAUUGAAAUAUUA
rnacentral:lncRNA from 1 species